rnacentral:rRNA from 1 species
CUUCUAGGUACACCUUCCAGUACACCUACUAUGUUACGACUUAUCUCAUCUGAUUUAAUGAAAGCGACGGGCAAUAUGUACACACUUUAGAGCUAUUAUCACUUUACCUUGCUAAAUUUAAACUUACAAUUAAAUCCAUCCUCAUAUACUGAGUUCUCAGUAUAAUCAGCCUCUUUUAAAAUAUUGUAACCCAUUUAUACUUAUUCAUUAGCAGCACCUUGAUCUAAUAUACUUGAUUUUCUCAAUUUCAAUAAUUCAUAUAUAAAUUAUCUAACAAUGAAGGUAUACUGGCUGUACAAGAACAAGAGAGAUUCUACGUGGUUUAUCGUUUAUAUAACAGGUUCCUCUAACUAGACUAAAGUACCGCCAGGUUCUUUGAAUUUCAAACAAAUUAGUUAUAAAUACUCCAGUUAUGCAUUAUUAUUAUUUUUUAGUGUAACAGGGUAUCUAAUCCUGGUUCAUACCUAAAACUUUCUGGCCUCGACCUUAGUUCAUCUCUUUUAAUGCUUAAUGACCUUAUUAAUAUACAAAUUUCACCCCUUAUUAACUUAAGCCCUAAAUAAGAGCAACUUGACUUUAUCUAACCAAAUAACUUAUAUUUCUUCACUAGGCCUUCAAGUCUAACCGCGGAUGCUGGCACAAGUUUUAACCUGACCUAAGUGGUAUUUACUUAGUCCAACUUUUGUUGAUUUCUAAAUUUUUAGUACUGCCUCCUCUCGUUUAUUGCGUAAACUCAUACUGGCUCAAUCUCUCACCUCCAUAUUUAAUGGAAGCAUAAACCUUUAAACACUAACAUUUGCAUGUACUAUUCAACCCAAUUAGCAAAGAAUAUAGCAAGAAUCAAACUAUAG